CGCUGCCGCAGCCUCCGCCGCUCCAGCCCCGGCUCGGCAGCGCGUCCCCUCCCCGCCUCGCCGCUCCGCUCGCGGGCUCGCGGGCUCCCUCGCUCUCUCCCUUCCCCCGCCGCUGCCGGCGCCGCGCCGAGCGGAGCCCGGCCGGCCACGGGCUGCCUCUCCCGAGGUCCCUUUCCCGAGGGGGGGAGGUGGUGGGGGCGCGGCGCAGGCGGGGCGGGGAGGAGAGGAGAGUCCGGGGGAGGCGGCAAGGCUGCGCCCUCGGCUCCCCUCCGAUCCCCGCGGGCCCAGCGGCCCCAGGCCGGGCCGGAGAGCGCCGAGCCGCCAGGCAGUGGAGGAAGAGAGGAGGAGGACCCGGAGUCUCGCCGCGGGAGGGUGCCCAGGGCGAGGGCGUGCGAGGGGGAGUGACUCCGCGCGCGAGGGGCAGCAGCACCUGCUUGAGACCAAGCCCGGCGACCUGGCAAGGUGGGGCCCCCUACCGCGCAAUCUUUGCGGCUGGCCCCCGGCUCUCAGCUCCGAGUGCAGAGGCUGAAGAGGUACCCGGGGGACACACUGCCUCUAACCCCACCUAUGAGCCGCUCUCCUCUCGGAGGACGAAGGCACCAUCAGAAGGUCGAGAUUCGCCCUCCUCUCCCGCCACGUCUACCCACUACCUAGACCGGGAGUCUGGACUUGGGAGCGUGAACUCUCACCCGAGCCGGUCCCCUUACAACUGGAGCCCGCCCAGCCCCUCAGUCCCUCCCUGAAGCCCAUGGGUCCCCACUGCUCCGUGCCUCGUCGACCCAGGAUGGGGAGUGGGAAGGUCAGCAUGUGCCCACAGGGCCAGGUGUCCGGCCCAGAUUCCCACCCUCAGGGCGGCGGCGCGCAAAGGGCGCAGUCCCCGCCGCUGGGCGGACCCGCGGCUCCGGCUUUCCCGGUGUCUCCAGCCUCGGUGCCCGGAAUCCUGGAUCUCGGCCUGGCGCUCCGGAAGCGAGGCAG
ensembl:lncRNA LINC01750 long intergenic non-protein coding RNA 1750